AAGGAAUAUUGGUCAAUGGACGGAAGUCUGAACCAGCCAUGCCGCGUGGAGGAUGAAGGCCCUCUGGGUUGUAAACUUCUUUUAUUUGGGACGAAACACUUCUUUUCUAAGGAGCUUGACGGUACCAGAUGAAUAAGCACCGGCUAACUCCGUGCCAGCAGCCGCGGUAAUACGGAGGGUGCAAGCGUUAUCCGGAUUCACUGGGUUUAAAGGGUGCGUAGGCGGAUUUGUAAGUCCGUGGUGAAAUCUCUAAGCUUAACUUGGAAAUUGCCGUGGAUACUAUAAGUCUUGAAUAUUGUGGAGGUUAGCGGAAUAUGUCAUGUAGCGGUGAAAUGCAUAGAUAUGACAUAGAACACCAAUUGCGAAGGCAGCUGGCUACACAACUAUUGACGCUGAGGCACGAAAGCGUGGGGAUCAAACA
rnacentral:rRNA from 1 species